GAUGAACGCUGGCGGCGUGCCUAAUACAUGCAAGUCGAGCGAACAGACGAGGAGCUUGCUCCUCUGACGUUAGCGGCGGACGGGUGAGUAACACGUGGAUAACCUACCUAUAAGACUGGGAUAACUUCGGGAAACCGGAGCUAAUACCGGAUAACAUGUUGAACCGCAUGGUUCAACAGUGAAAGACGGUCUUGCUGUCACUUAUAGAUGGAUCCGCGCCGCAUUAGCUAGUUGGUAAGGUAACGGCUUACCAAGGCAACGAUGCGUAGCCGACCUGAGAGGGCGAUCGGCCACACUGGAACUGAGACACGGCCCAGACUCCUACGGGAGGCAGCAGUAGGGAAUCUUCCGCAAUGGGCGAAAGCCUGACGGAGCAACGCCGCGUGCGUGAAGAAGGUCUUCGGAUCGUAAACCUCUGUUAUUAGGGACGAACAAAUGUGUAAGUAACUAUGCACGUCUUGACGGUACCUAAUCAGAAAGCCACGGCUAACUACGUG
rnacentral:rRNA from 1 species